CUUUCAUAUUUUCUUUUUAAUUUAAGGAGCUCAAGUGACUCCACUGAAACUCUGGCAUUUAUCACAGACAAAAUUAGGUCAGAAGAGUGCACAGAGGUACUGAACUGAAAAGAGAUAAAUUCAUCUUUGGAAGAAAAAAGGAAGUCUCAAACUCCAAAGUUGGGUUUAAUUUGUCUCCUCCACAUAAGGGGUGUUGGAACAAGAUGAGCUUUCAAGUCCCUUCCCACCCAAACUAUGAAAUCAGACAGAACAAGAUUUGCCCAUGCUGUACCCAGG